UACGGGGGGGGCAAGCGUUGUUCGGAAUUACUGGGCGUAAAGGGCUCGUAGGCGGCCAACUAAGUCAUACGUGAAAUCCCUCGGCUUAACCGGGGAACUGCGUCUGAUACUGGAUGGCUUGAGAUUGGGAGAGGGAUGCGGAAUUCCAGGUGUAGCGGUGAAAUGCGGAUAUCUGGAGGAACACCGGUGGCGAAGGCGGCAUCCUGGACCAACACUGACGCUGAGGAGCGAAAGCCAGGGGAGCAAACGGG
rnacentral:rRNA from 1 species